rnacentral:sRNA from 1 species
UCAACACUACAACCAGGCACGCGGCGCCA